CAGUCGCCGCGGGAAUACAGAGGGUGCGAGCGUUAAUCGGAUUUACUGGGCGUAAAGCGCGCGUAGGUGGUUUGUUAAGUUGGAUGUGAAAGCCCCGGGCUCAACCUGGGAACUGCAUCCAAAACUGGCAAGCUAGAGUACGGUAGAGGGUGGUGGAAUUUCCUGUGUAGCGGUGAAAUGCGUAGAUAUAGGAAGGAACACCAGUGGCGAAGGCGACCACCUGGACUGAUACUGACACUGAGGUGCGAAAGCGUGGGGAGCAAACAGGAUUAGAUACCCCCGUAGUCCCUGUCUCUUAUAC
rnacentral:rRNA from 1 species